rnacentral:tRNA from 1 species
GCCGCGUUCGUCUAGUGGUUAGGACGCCACCCUCUCACGGUGGAAACAUGGGUUCGACUCCCGUACGCGGUACCA